GAUGAAGAACGUAGCGAAAUGCGAUAAGUAAUGUGAAUUGCAGAAUUCAGUGAAUCAUCGAAUCUUUGAACGCACAUUGCGCCCGUCAGUAUUCUGGGGGCAUACCUGUUCGAGCGUCAUUACGCCCCUCAAGUCCCCUGUGGACUUGGUGUUGGGGAUCGGCGAGGCUGGUUUUCCAGCACAGCCGUCCCUUAAAUUAAUUGGCGGUCUCGCCGUGGCCCUCCUCUGCGCAGUAGUAAAACACUCGCAACAGGAGCCCGGCGCGGUCCACUGCCGUAAAACCCCCCAACUUUUUAUAGUUGACCUCGAAUCAGGUAGGACUACCCGCUGAACUUAAGCAUAUCAAUAAGCGGAGGA
rnacentral:misc_RNA from 1 species